rnacentral:ncRNA from 1 species
UGCAUAGAAGUGUUUGGCGUGAACAGUGGUUGAUCACGAGUUAGUCGGUCCUAAGUUCAAGGCGAAACCCGAAAAUUUUCAAGUAAAGAAAAAUCUAAAUAUAUUUGUCAUCUACCCGAUUUUUACACACUUGAAUAAUUUUGAGCGAAAGGGAAUACGGUUCCAAUUCCGUAACCUGUUGAGUAUCCGUUUGUUAUUAACUGUGGGCCUCGUGCUCAUCCUGUCCACAGGAACGUCCAUAAAGAAGCCGUCGAGAGGUAUCGGAAGAGUUUUCUUUUCUGUUUUAUAGCCGUACUACCAUGUAAGUCUUUCGCAGAGAGAUAUGGUAGAUGGGCUAGAAGAGCAUGACAUAUACUGUUGUGUCGAUAUUUUCUCCUCGGACCUUGAAAAUGUAUGGUGGGGACACGCAAACUUCUCAACAGGGCGUACCAAUAUCCGCAGCUGGUCUCCAAGGUGAAGAGUCUCUAGUCGAUAGAAUAAUGUAGGUAAGGGAAGUCGUCAAAUUAGAUCCGUAACUUCGGGAGAGGUAUUGGCUCUGAAGAUUGAGAUAGUCGGGCUUGAUUGGGAAAUAUUAACAUGGUUUAUGUGCUCGUUCUGGGUAAAUAAAGUUUUCUUCAUUUAUGGUAGUUUCUUGUUCCCCGGAUAGUUUAGUUACGUAGUCAAUUGUGGAAUUUUCUUGCUAACAAUUUUAAGAAAACUAGUUAGGCAACCAAAUAGUUCUUUUAAAUUAUAACGAUUAUCAAUUAACAAUCACGAGUAUCAACUGGCCCACCUCGAGCAAUCAGAGGAGGCCAGUAGCUUUCUCAGUGUCGAGCUCCGGAAGGCCCGGGAUAGAGCUAAGACUGGGGU